UCAGGACGAACGCUGGCGGCACGCUUAACACAUGCAAGUCGAACGGAGUAUGAGAGCUUGCUUCGAUAACUUAGUGGCGGACGGGUGAGUAACACGUGAGCAACCUGCCUUCAAGAGCGGAAUAGCUUCUGGAAACGGAUGGUAAUACCGCAUAACAUUACCGGACCGCAUGAUCUGGUAAUCAAAGAUUUAUCGCUUGAAGAUGGGCUCGCGUCUGAUUAGAUAGUUGGUGGGGUAACGGCCUACCAAGUCGACGAUCAGUAGCCGGACUGAGAGGUUGAACGGCCACAUUGGGACUGAGACACGGCCCAGACUCCUACGGGAGGCAGCAGUGGGGAAUAUUGCACAAUGGGCGCAAGCCUGAAUGCAGCGAUGCCGCGUGGAGGAAGAAGGUUUUCGGAUUGUAAACUCCUUAUCUGAGGGACGAUAAUGACGGUACCUCAGGAGAAAGCUCCGGCUAACUACGUGCCAGCCGCGGC
rnacentral:rRNA from 1 species